UACGUAGGUGACAAGCGUUAUCCGGAAUUACUGGGCGUAAAGCGCACGCAAGCGGUCUGUCAAGUCUGGCGUGAAAUCUCUUGGCUUAACCAGGAGCGGUCGCUAGAAACUGAUGGGCUUGAGGCGAUGAGAGGAGUGCGGAAUCCCCGGUGUAGUGGUGGAAUGCGUAGAUAUCGGGGGGAACACCUGUGGCGAAAGCGGCACUCUGGCGUCGGCCUGACGCUCAUGUGCGAAAGCGUGGGGAGCGAACGGG
rnacentral:misc_RNA from 1 species